rnacentral:rRNA from 1 species
UAGGGAAUCUUCCGCAAUGGGCGAAAGCCUGACGGAGCAACGCCGCGUGAGUGAUGAAGGUCUUCGGAUCGUAAAACUCUGUUAUUAGGGAAGAACAAAUGUGUAAGUAACUAUGCACGUCUUGACGGUACCUAAUCAGAAAGCCACGGCUAACUACGUGCCAGCAGCCGCGGUAAUACGUAGGUGGCAAGCGUUAUCCGGAAUUAUUGGGCGUAAAGCGCGCGUAGGCGGUUUUUUAAGUCUGAUGUGAAAGCCCACGGCUCAACCGUGGAGGGUCAUUGGAAACUGGAAAGCUUGAGUGCAGAAGAGGAAAGGGGAAUUCCAUGUGUGGCGGUGAAAUGCGCAGAGAUAUGGAGGAACACCAGUGGCGAAAGCGACUUUCUGGUCUGUAACUGACGCUGAUGUGCGAAAGCGUGGGAAUCAAACAGG